UACGUAGGGUGCAAGCGUUGUCCGGAAUUAUUGGGCGUAAAGAGCUCGUAGGCGGUUUGUCGCGUCGGCCGUGAAAACUGGAGGCUUAACCUUCAGCGUGCAGUCGAUACGGGCAGACUUGAGUUCGGUAGGGGAGACUGGAAUUCCUGGUGUAGCGGUGAAAUGCGCAGAUAUCAGGAGGAACACCGGUGGCGAAGGCGGGUCUCUGGGCCGAUACUGACGCUGAGGAGCGAAAGCGUGGGGAGCGAACAGG
rnacentral:rRNA from 1 species